CAAAAAUCCGUCAAUCCGAAUGUCUACUUCUACACACAGGCAUGAAAUCUAAUCCUGUUACUUUGUAAUUGAACAAGACGUGCUUCCUGUGAUAUUAAUGCACUUUCAGAAAUUUUGACGUUAAAGGCCAUGUCUUAAAGCAACAACCCACUGAAUUUUUGCAUGUGGAAAAUAUGACAUGCUCUACUGCUUUUGGUGCUGGUGCCUUGGUCUUGAAAAUUUUGACCUCCAUCAUGAGAGACAUAAUAACCUUGGACCCAUAUCCACGAAGAUAGCGAAAGACUUCACCAGCACCAACUGGAAGAAGGGAUGGGAAGAUGACAGUAUAAGAACACAUUCAAC